UACGAAGGGUGCUAGCGUUGUUCGGAAUCACUGGGCGUAAAGCGCGCGUAGGCGGCUUGACAAGUCAGAGGUGAAAUCCCAGAGCUUAACUCUGGAACUGCCUUUGAAACUGUCAAGCUGGAGUGUCGGAGGGGAUGGCGGAAUUGCUAAUGUAGAGGUGAAAUUCGUAGAUAUUAGCAGGAACACCAGUGGCGAAGGCGAGUCCCUGGAAAACACCUGACACUGAGGCACGAAAGCUAGGGGAGCAAACAGG
rnacentral:rRNA from 1 species